AACUAUAUGCUUAUGUUGUUUCCUCUAGUUGCACCUUCAAAAAAGUCAGGUGAUCAAUUAGUAUGCUAUGUUUAUACUCUCUGCAAAAACCAUGAACAAGCUAUAAUUACUCUAUGUUUGGCACUUUGUCCGCAUUGGAUGCCCUGAGCAUGUCUUCAUCUGGUUAGGAUUCGAUGGUAUAUUAGUUAGUUCGGUCAGCUGUCACCACAUUUUAA
rnacentral:lncRNA from 1 species